rnacentral:tRNA from 1 species
AUAAUUUUAAGUUAAUUAAAACUAUUAACCUUCAAAGUUAAAAUUAUAUAACUUAUAUAAAUUAUA